UGCUUUCCCACGUCUUCAAAUUUAUCAUAUAACCAUUGCGAGUCCACCUCUCAAAUUCUAGUCAUAGCUAGAAUUUGCUUUAGCUACGUCAAUCCACGGCGGCGCGCGGCGGCCCCACCACCACCAGCAGCUAGCAGCAACUGAUGAUCGUUGAGCAGAUAUAUAGAAGUCCCCGCAGAUGAAGAUGAAUAAGUGCUUGGGCGCCAGUUAUUUGUCCAAGCCGCAAAGCAUCGGCGCCGUCGUCCUUCUUCUACUGUUAGCACUGUUCCCGGCAGAACGUGGAGUCCUGUGUGCUUCCUCUUCCUCUUCCUCAAUCAUCAACUCCAUCCCCGGAUUUUCCGGCCCUCUCCCUUUCAAACUACAGACUGGGCAUGUGGGAGUGGGGGAGAAUGAAGAGGUUCAGCUUUUCUACUACUUUGUGGAGUCAGAAGGGAACCCUGGGGAAGACCCCCUUCUGCUUUGGUUCGCCGGAGGCCCUGGCUGCUCUGGCCUCUCCGCACUUGCGAUAGAGAUAGGUACGUCUUUAUUCAUUCAUUCAUUCAUUCAUUCACUCAGUCAUUCAUUCAUUCAUUCAUUCAUUCAUUAUUAUUUUUCCUUUAGUGGGCUACACAUAUCCAUCACUGGCCUAUAUUGAUGCUAAUUACUCAUAAAAUCAUAGUAAUUUAAUUUGAUCUCUCUAUAUCAUGAUAUGUGCAUGGUUCUCCACAUCCUUGAGAAAGGAGAGAAUCCUGAGAAUUGGAAGGGAUGAAAUAAAAUUUUCACUUAAUUUUAUCAUACAUUACAUUUAAUUUUUUUUUUUUUUUUAUCCCAUUUCAUUUCAUAAGUAAGUAUAUCAUAAGAAAUGCCUACAAUUCUCUCCUCCCAAUUUAAACUAUGCUAAUUAAUUGAUUCCAUUAUUUUACAUAAAUUUUUGGGCUUAUUCAUUGGUUGCUAUGACAGGUAUGUCUAACCAAUGUUAUGCAUAUCCACAUGCAUAAUUGGCAAUAAUGUUGUUGACAAUCACAAAUGAUGUGAGAUAACAAUCAAAUACUUGGCAGAGCUAGGGUGAGGCAAUUAGGAGGGCAUUAUUAAUUCAAUUUUGGGUGGUGGGGGUGUCCUUGUAGAGGAAUAGGGGUUAAGCUUCCAAUUUUAUGUGGAUAUUAAUCCAAUAAAUUAUAUAUAUAUAUAUAUAUAUAUCAUUUUUUUUAACAAAAAAUAAAGUAGUUAAUAUUUUUGUAUAGUUAUAGAUAGCAUAAUGCAAUAUAUAUGGUGCUAGUAAUAAAUUACAGAAGGUAUUUUCAAAUAUACUAUAGAAAAUAAUUUUAAAAUAACUUUUUAAUAUUCAAGUGCUAGAAUAUUUGAUAUUAAUUAGAACUAAGUGUUAAACAUCAUGUUAAAUUCUCUCUAGAUAUCAAUAUUAUACACACACGAGUCCUUUAAGCAAAAGAAGAAACUGAGCAGUUAUUGAUCGAUGACUGGAAUAGUAUGGGAGCAUUAGCACCUCUAUCAUAUAAGAUUAAAGAAAAAGAGAAGAGGUAAGGAGAAAUCUCCUCAAUCUUAUAGAUUUUUGUUGGGGAUGUGGCUCAUUUUGAGUGGAAUGCAUGUACCGGGAAAGCAUCGUGAGUGAAGAACAAGGAAGCUGGUUGCAGCAACAAUUAACGGUUUCCCUAUAACUGUUGACGAUUUUAGUUCAUUCUGUAAGAUUCAACUCUCAGCAUAAAAUUGUUGACGGUUUGGUUGUAAUUGUCGAUGGUUUCGUUCGGUGCAAGUUACAUUUUUUUUAAUUUUGUGAUCAGUAGAUUGGGGGAUUUGGAGGAUUUUCCUCUAGAAAUUGCUAUACGAGUGAUUUAGAUAGGUACUAAGACUUCUUUAUGUAUAAGGGUUCAUUUAUAUGUAUUAUUUUGAAACCCUUGAUGUAAGCUUGACAUUGUGAUAGUGAAAAUUCAGUCAUUGCUCCUAUGGACAUAGGCACAUUACCGAACUACGUAAAUCUUAUUUCUUUGA